AUGACCUUCACCAUCAUCUUCAUCUGGACACUUUUAUUCUCGUUACAAGGUUGUAAAUCACAGAUCAAAGUAACUCAAAGUCCUUCAGUGAAAACUGCAGCACGAGGAGACUCUGUUACUAUGAACUGUAGACUGAGUUCCUCCACAUACUGUAACCCAAAACCCUGUGUGGAUUGGUACUUACAGAAACCUGGAGAAGCUCCUAAACUCCUGAUAUAUGCAGCAUCAAACAGCUUCACAGGUACUCCAUCAAGAUUCAGUGGCAGUGGAUCAAACACAGAUUUGACUUUGAGAAUCAGUGAAGUUCAGACUGAAGAUGAAGGAGAUUAUUACUGUAUGAGUGCACACAGCAUCAGUGGUAGCUUAGUGUUCACACAGUGA